rnacentral:rRNA from 1 species
UACGGAGGAUGCAAGCGUUAUCCGGAAUGAUUGGGCGUAAAGCGUCCGCAGGUGGCAAUGUAAGUCUGCUGUCAAAGCGUCUGGCUCAACCAGAUAAAGGCAGUGGAAACUACAUAGCUAGAGUAAGGUAGGGGUAGAGGGAAUUCCUGGUGUAGCGGUGAAAUGCGUAGAGAUCAGGAAGAACACCGGUGGCGAAAGCGCUCUGCUGGACCUUAACUGACACUGAGGGACGAAAGCUAGGGGAGCGAAUAGG